rnacentral:rRNA from 1 species
GACGAACGCUGGCGGCGUGCCUAAUACAUGCAAGUCGAACGCAGUGGGGACGGGUGAGUAACACGUGGGUAACCUCCCAUCAGAGGGGAUAACACUUGGAAACAGGUGCUAAACCGAUACUGAUGGAUGGAUCCGCGGUGCCUUAGCUAGUUGGUGAGGUAACGGCUCACCAAGGCCACGAUGCAUAGCCGACCUGAGAGACUGAUCAGCCACACUGGGACUGAGACACGGCCACGACUCCUACGGGAGGCAGCAGUGGGGAAUAUUGCACAAUGGGCGCAAGCCUGAUGCAGCCAUGCCGCGUGUAUGAAGAAGGCCUUCGGGUUGUAAAGUACUUUCAGUCGGGAGGCGUUACCGACAGAAGAAGCACCGGCUAACUCCGUGCCAGCAGCCGCGGUAAUAC